AUACGUAGAGGGCAAGCGUUGUCCGGAUUUAUUGGGUGUAAAGGGUACGCAGGCGGUCUAUCAAGUCAGGAGUGAAAUCCACUGGCUCAACCAGUGAACUGCUUUUGAAACUGAUAGACUUGAGGACAAGAGAAGAAAGCGGAAUUCCUGGUGUAGUGGUGAAAUACGUAGAUAUCAGGAAGAAUACCUAUGGCGAAAGCAGCUUUCUAACUUGUAUCUGACGCUGAGGUACGAAAGCUAGGGUAGCAAACGGGAUUAGAUACCCCGGUAGUCCUAGCUGUAAACGCUGGAUACUAGGUGUUGGGGGUUCGAUUCCUUCAGUGCCGUAAGUUAACGCUUUAAGUAUCCCACCUGGGGAGUACGAUCGCAAGGUUGAA
rnacentral:rRNA from 1 species